rnacentral:lncRNA from 1 species
CUAAAAUACUAACAUAACAAACUCUAUUAGUUAUCAAUAGCUGUGUAACAAUCCAUCCCCAAAGCAUAGUGGUUUAAAAAAAUAGGCACUUACUGCUCACAGUUUCUGUAAGUCAGAGCCCUUGGGUGGUUCAGAUGGGUGCCUCUGCCUUAAGGUCUUUCCACAGGCUGCAAUCUGUUUGCUGGCCAGGGCUGCAGUCUCAUCUGAAGGUUCAACUAAAUGGUGAUCUUCUUCCAAGCACAAUCAUAGCUGUUGGCAUUAUUCAGUCUUGUGGAGGCUGCUGUACUGAGCACCUUAGUCCCUGGCUGGCUGUUGGCUGGAAGGCAUUCCCUCAGUUUCUUGACAUGUGUGCCUCUCCAUAGGGCAGUACAUAAAGAGGCAGCUAGUUUCCCCGAGUAAGAGGGAGUGAGGAAAAACGAAACCACAUUCUCUGUGUAACAGCUAUGAUCGUGUAAGACCUUCGGUGUAUUCACUUAGCUCCCUAUGGAAAACUCUUCGAGAAGGAGGCGACUGAGAUCGGUUAGCACUUAAAUCCCUUUCACAGCCCCGGCUCCCAUCGCCCCUCCUAUGGCCUCCUACCUGCAGAGAAGCAGAGCAGGCAUACCCAGUGCCUUAGGCGGGCCAAGCCUAGCACUGUGGGAGCAAAAAACAUGGCUUCAUCGUCAGGGUGAGCUAUGGCCAGAAGGGUCCGGCUUUCGGCUCCCAGCCGUCCUCCCUGCUCCCGACUCUUCACUCGUUCUGAGGAGUUCCAAACCCAGAGGAAGCCCCACGCCCCGACCGCCGCCGCCACACACAAGAGCCACGUUGCUUCCACUAUGGGGUUGAAGCUGAUGGGUGACAGCCAAAGGAGAAAAAGGAAGGAGACUUACAAAGUAAAAACAGAGUGUUCUAGGACCUGCCUCUCAAAGUGACCGCCAUGAACCACCAGCCUCAGCAUGUGAGAUUGCUGAACCUCAGGUGACCCUGCAGAGCAAUGAACAGGGAAUCUCGUUUUCACAGGACUUCCAGAUAAUUCUAGUGCUUGUCAUAGUUUCAGAAACACAGCACUCGAAGAUCAAUUUGAAUAAACUAAAAUAAGAAAAGACGGCAGACAGGGAAGCAAAUGAAGUGUCUUCUGCAGGCUGUUAGCAUGACCUUUUAAGGAUCUUGUUUGUGAUUAAUGAGAGACAUGAGAAGAGACAAGUGAUGUGAAUGAAGAAUCAAAAGGCAUGAUACCUGCACGAUUAGGGAGAUGAUGCACAGACAACACAGAAAGUGGGCAACUGGAAGAAGGAAGAAGAAGAAUGCCAGGACCAUGAUGGACGCAGGAAAGUCAAGGACAGGGUAGGGUGGAGGGCAGCUGAUACGUCGAGAGAGAAUAAGAAAUGGCCUUUUGAACACGUUGAGUAGAAAUUUCCAGGACAGCCUAACCACGGAGGUCUUCAAAUGAUGUCGUGGAAGAUCCAAUGGAGGGAAGGGCAGCAUGCAUUCCUCAUGAAGGGAGGACCAUUCUUUGGGGCUCCACUCUAUUUUCAGUUCCUACAGCAGUAAUGGGCAUAGAACUGGCACUGAAAAAAAAAAAGAAAAAUGUUAAUCAAUGAGGAAGGGACACAUAGUGUGAUGCACAGACCACCUGCCUGCAGGUGCCCUUGGGAGCUUGUUAUAAAUGCAUCUCUAGGACCCACCCAAGCCCUACUUCCCACUCUCUCAGGGUAGACCUUGAAAUACGAACUUUUACCAAGCUAAGAGAUUCUGAGACUUUCUCAAAUUUGAGGCUUUCAAUUAUAAAGACAAAAAAAUCAAAGCAAGGGAGGACUCAAGAUAAAGAAUUUGGAUGAUGUCCACCACUAGGAAAAAGAAGCGUGUAAUGAAGAAAGAGAAGUAAAGUGAACGCAAAAGUGGC